UCCAGACUCCUACGGGAGGCAGCAGUGGGGAAUAUUGGACAAUGGGGGGAACCCUGAUCCAGCGACGCCGCGUGAGUGAAGAAGUAUUUCGGUAUGUAAAGCUCUCUCAGCAGGGAAGAAAAUGACGGUACCUGACUAAGAAGCCCCGGCUAACUACGUGCCAGCAGCCGCGGUAAUACGUAGGGGGCAAGCGUUAUCCGGAUUUACUGGGUGUAAAGGGAGCGUAGACGGUUAAUCAAGUCAGAAGUGAAAACCCAGGGCUCAACCUUGGGACUGCUUUUGAAACUGAGUAGCUAGAGUGCAGGAGAGGUAAGCGGAAUUCCUAGUGUAGCGGUGAAAUGCGUAGAUAUUAGGAGGAACACCAGUGGCGAAGGCGGCUUACUGGACUGUAACUGACGUUGAGGCUCGAAAGCGUGGGGAGCAAACAGGAUUAGAUACCCCAGUA
rnacentral:rRNA from 1 species